GGGUGAGUAACGCGUGGGUAACCUGCCCUUUAGACGGGGACAACAUUCCGAAAGGAGUGCUAAUACCGGAUGUGAUCAUCGUGCCGCAUGGCAGGAUGAAGAAAGAUGGCCUCUACAAGUAAGCUAUCGCUAAAGGAUGGGCCUGCGUCUGAUUAGCUAGUUGGUAGUGUAACGGACUACCAAGGCGAUGAUCAGUAGCCGGUCUGAGAGGAUGAACGGCCACAUUGGGACUGAGACACGGCCCAAACUCCUACGGGAGGCAGCAGUGGGGAAUCUUCCGCAAUGGACGAAAGUCUGACGGAGCAACGCCGCGUGAGUGAUGAAGGAUUUCGGUCUGUAAAACUCUGUUGUUUAUGACGAACGUGCAGUGUGUGAACAAUGCAUUGCAAUGACGGUAGUAAACGAGGAAGCCACGGCUAACUACGUGCCAGCAGCCGCGGUAAUACGUAGGUGGCGAGCGUUGUCCGGAAUUAUUGGGCGUAAAGAGCAUGUAGGCGGCUUAAUAAGUCGAGCGUGAAAAUGCGGGGCUCAACCCCGUAUGGCGCUGGAAACUGUUAGGCUUGAGUGCAGGAGAGGAAAGGGGAAUUCCCAGUGUAGCGGUGAAAUGCGUAGAUAUUGGGAGGAACACCAGUGGCGAAGGCGCCUUUCUGGACUGUGUCUGACGCUGAGAUGCGAAAGCCAGGGUAGCGAACGGGAUUAGAUACCCCGGUAGUCCUGGCCGUAAACGAUGGGUACUAGGUGUAGGAGGUAUCGACCCCUUCUGUGCCGGAGUUAACGCAAUAAGU
rnacentral:rRNA from 1 species